GAGUAACUUAGCGUUGUCUCACAUUCAACAACAUGUUAUUAGGUAGAGUAACUUAGCGUUGUCUCACAUUCAACAACAUGUUAUUAGGUAGAGUAACUUAGCGUUGUCUCACAUUCAACAACAUGUUAUUAGGUAGAGUAACUUAGCGUUGUCUCACAUUCAACAACAUGUUAUUAGGUAGAGUAACUUAGCGUUGUCUCACAUUCAACAACAUGUUAUUAGGUAGAGUAACUUAGCGUUGUCUCACAUUCAACAACAUGUUAUUAGGUAGAGUAACUUAGCGUUGUCUCACAUUCAACAACAUGUUAUUAGGUAGAGUAACUUAGCGUUGUCUCACAUUCAACAACAUGUUAUUAGGUAGAGUAACUUAGCGUUGUCUCACAUUCAACGACAUGUCAUUCUUUUUCAUAUGGGUAAAAUAUUAUUUAGUCUUGUGCUCAAAUUGUUGUCAUCCUGCAUGCAACGUAAACUCAUCCUACAUGCAACGUAAACUCAUCCUUGCAUGCAAUGUAAACUCAUCCUGCAUGCAAUGUAAACUCAUCCUGCAUGCAAUGUAAACUCAUCCUGCAUGCAAUGUAAACUCAUCCUGCAUGCAAUGUAAACUCAUCCUGCAUGCAAUGUAAACUCAUCCUGCAUGCAAUGUAAACUCAUCCUGCAUGCAAUGUAAACUCAUCCUACAUGCAAUGUAAACUCAUCCUGCAUGCAAUGUAAACUCAUCCUGCAUGCAAUGUAAACUCAUCCUGCAUGCAAUGUAAACUCAUCCUGCAUGCAAUGUAAACUCAUCCUGCAUGCAAUGUAAACUCAUCCUGCAUGUUAUGUAAAGUCCAUUAUAUAUCUGUGACUAUUAUAUAUCUGUGACUAUUAUAUAUAU